rnacentral:lncRNA from 1 species
UCAAAUUCCUCCUUCAAAAUUUCUUUAUAUAAUAAUUUACUAUAUAUAGGAAAAUCAUGUAUAAUAAAUUAAAAGUUGUAUGAAUAAUACCUGGAGUUCCAUUCCCAGCUGUCAUCGUAUCAUGGAUAGCCAUUUUAUAAACCCUUGUCGUUGAUUUUGUUGGCUUUCUUGAUGACGUAGGUCCCGUGAUUGCUAAAGUCCCACUGUCAGUGCCCGUGUUCACACUUCCUGC